AUUGGACGCUGGCGGCAUGCUUUACACAUGCAAGUCGAACGGUAACAGGCCUUCGGGCGCCGACGAGUGGCGAACGGGUGAGUAAUGCAUCGGAACGUGCCCAGUCGUGGGGGAUAACUAUCCGAAAGGAUAGCUAAUACCGCGUACGAUCUGCGGAUGAAAGCGGGGGACCUUCGGGCCUCGCGCGAUUGGAGCGGCCGAUGUCAGAUUAGGUAGUUGGUGGGGUAAAGGCUCACCAAGCCAACGAUCUGUAGCUGGUCUGAGAGGACGACCAGCCACACUGGGACUGAGACACGGCCCAGACUCCUACGGGAGGGAGCAGUGGGGAAUUUUGGACAAUGGGCGCAAGCCUGAUCCAGCGAUGCCGCGUGCAGGAAGAAGGCCUUCGGGUUGUAAACUGCUUUUGUACGGAACGAAACGGCUCUGGUUAAUACCCGGGGCUAAUGACGGUACCGUAAGAAUAAGCACCGGCUAACUACGUGCCAGCCGCCGCGGUAA
rnacentral:rRNA from 1 species